ensembl:lncRNA
UCCUCUGAAGGAAUGUAUGGAAUUAAACACUUACUUCUCUAUAAAAAGACUGAAAAACCACCACUGGAUUCCAGAGUAGAUAAGACAAUUCCCAGCUAAAUGAUUUACUGUAGUGAAAUGUUGCUGAUACUUGCACUGAUAUGAACCUUGCAUCUCUGUGCAUUGACAGGUAAGAGAAGGAGCCCUUCCAGCUAAAUAAGGAAGAAUCUCAAUGGAAAUCCUGUUUCUGCAGAAAAGAGUUUCUCUUUUCAGUUUCUCAUGACACAACAGAUCUGCCACUGGCUACAACUCUAUACAUGCCUCGGGCUCAGCUUCCUGGAAACAAAACAGAACAAAAGAGUCAGAAUAGGUCCGUCAUCAACACAAAAACAGAAUUGCAAUAUAUUUUUAUGCCCGUGUGAAAAACCUGUGGCCACCUUCUCUUUGGCUGAGUACAACACUUAAGAUUCGUUGGUAGAAGGAAGAGAGAAAGGAUGUAUGAAGCAUGUUGGUUCUCAACGGCAUGGUCGGGAUGGUGGAAGACCAGGAGACUGCACGUGGUGAGCAGAUGAUCCAAGACAGACCUAUAUACUGCGCUCCUUCCGAGCAAUGUGACAUCAGUGCCCUUUUCUGGAGUGCAGCACAGCCAGAGGGCUCAAAUUUUAAGAGGGACAAACUAUUUCAAUGUAGACACACAACAGUUGGAAUUCAUCCUUGGUGUUUACGUUGUGAUAAAUGUAAUCCUCCUCUGAUCGUCACCAGCCGCUUGAGAAUGGAUUCUGGAAAGUCGUUGGCAAUGAUGGGAAGUGGGAAUUGCCCCGUAGGCCCAGUGGCACUCAGUGGCCUCCUGGGCCAUGAAAGGGAAGUUGUUUGACUUAGCACUGUGCAGGAAAUAGGAGAGAUGCAGGGAUAAACAAGGGAAGGAAUAUGCUUUCAGAGAAGAAAGAGUAAUACAAGGAAGUACUAGCAAAAGCAUUUAUUUCCUUUCUCACAUUUCUCUGGGAUGAUUUAUAAACAAUACCAAGCUCUCAUUUUACUUACUGUUGGUCUUCCCUGUCACUUUCUUAAUAAAGCUAGCUUAGGCUUUCCUUAGUACACAUUAGCACUGUCAGCAUAGCUGCAGACCUCAGUAGCCCUCAUCUACAUCUGCACUCCAAAAAAUGGUGCUGGGGUAUACUUUUCUACUCCAGUAUUUCAGUCAAGACUGAAAUUUGGCCAAGUAGCAGUGAAAAGCAUCACUGGACAAAUAAUUUCACACAAAAUCAAAUUUAUCUGUGACUUACUUCAUUAACUGUUCAGAGCUGCACCUCGUACAUUGCUGUAAGCCUGUGCUUGUUACCAAGACCUCAUAACUCUUGCGUUAAACUUGCCAGGGAUGGGUGACUGAGCUGAAACCUGGAGAGUCUUUACGUGGUGACUACUCAAGCCUUUUUUUUUUUUUUUUUUUUUUUUUUUUUUUUUUUUUUUAUUAACCUCCGUGUUUCUAUAUGCAUCCUGUGUUGGCUUACAUGUGAAACCAGCCUGAAGUAAUCUCACAUGCUGUGAAUUACAGCAUGGGUAUAAGCUCUUUUCAGGUCCUGGAAGGCCACAUUGAGGUCUUCCUGUAGCCUUCUCUUCUCCAGACUGAAGAAGCCCAGCUCCCUCAGCCUUUCUUCAUGGGACAGGUUAUCUGAUCAUCUUAAUGGCCCUCCUCUAGACCCACUCCGACAGCUCCACACAUUUCUUGUACAGACUCAGACCUGGGCACAGCACUCCAGAUGGGGCUUCACAAGGGCAGAGCAAAAGGGGGUAAUUAAACCUGGACUGAACCUUCUUGUUUUAGCCUGUAUUAUUAAUGAGGAGAAAAAGUUGUGUUUUUUCUCUUUCUCUCUUUCUGUCAUAGAAUAACAGAAUCAUAGAACUGCUCAGCUUGCAAAAGACCUUCAAAAUCAUCAAGUCCAACCACAACCUAACCAUACUACCCUAACUCUAACAACCCUCUGCUAAAUCAUGUCCCCGAGCACCACAUCCAAACGGUUUCUGAACACAUUUUUUUUCUCUCCCUUUCCCUUUCCCCUUCCCCUUCCUUUCUCCAAUCCCCCCCUCCACCCCGUCCCCCCCGCCGCCCCGUGAGCCGCCGUGCUCCGUUCCCGGUCCCGCAGCGCCGCCCCGUGGCCGCAGCCGGGCGGUUCCCCGUGGCUUUUACCUGUGGAUGUCGGAACACCGCGAGCGGCCUCGGCUUUUCGACCGAGUACUGAGCGAGGAACAGGGAAGCAGAGGAAGCAAAACAAUGCCACCAUGCACUGUAUUAUCUACUUGUCAUUAACUCCUACUACAUAUGCAGAGUGUAGCUAAGCUUAAAUACGGAUAUGAGAUUGUUGUGCUUCUUUGCCUCUAUCAAUUUGCAGUGUCUGAUGUGUAAUUGCAAGAAGAUGACAUCAGUCUUGCCCGGACGGAUCACGAGGUGUGCUGCUCACUGUCCCAUCCCUGACAAAAGCCAGUAACAAAUGUAUGUGAGACCGAGCUUUUUGGGCCCGGGCACAGUUCGAACAGCCACAGCACACUGCAGUGAGCAGUUUCUCCAUUUAAGUUGAAUUAAGAAGUCGCUGUCAGAAGAGCACCUCCUUUCUUUUUUUUUCUCACCAGCUGAGUCUUGAACGUAAGGCUUGUCUGCUGUCUUUAUCUGUUGUCUGUUCGGAACUUCUUUUGUACCUUCAUAAAUCAACAUCUGGUGAUUUGCCUUUCCUACCCGACUCGUGACGUUACAGAUAUCCCUCCCACUUUUCCAUCCUGUCAUGUAUUUUCACAUUGCAAAGUCUUGCUUUGAACAAUUCUUGAUAUAGGAACGAAUCCUCCAUCUUCUUCUGUUGCCUUUUCUUUGUUCUCUUUACUGCAUCACUUAAAAUGUAAUAAAGCAGUCAGAGUUGCACACUG